rnacentral:misc_RNA from 1 species
GGGGAAGACUGCUAGUCAAGAACACUCACAUCCAAAAGACGAAGAUAGUAGAGAUGAGGAUGCGCAGAUAGAUGUGUGACAUACGAGGAGUCAAGGAGAGAUAUAAUUAAGAAUGAAGUUAUACAGGACAAGGUGAGUGACUUCUGUGGUGGACAAGAUGAGCAUGAGAAAGCGAGACUGAGAUGGUACCAACCUGUGAAGAGAAGGUGCACAAGUGCACUAAUAAGGAGGGUGAGAGGUUGGCUAUAGCAGGUUUUAGGAGAGGUGGAGAG